rnacentral:rRNA from 1 species
CCCUAGUUAGCCGUGGCUUUCUGGUUAGAUACCGUCAAGGGAUGAACAGUUACUCUCAUCCUUAUUCUUCUCUAACAACAGAGUUUUACGAUCCGAAAACCUUCUUCACUCACGCGGCGUUGCUCGGUCAGACUUUCGUCCAUUGCCGAAGAUUCCCUACUGCUGCCUCCCGUAGGAGUUUGGGCCGUGUCUCAGUCCCAAUGUGGCCGAUCACCCUCUCAGGUCGGCUAUGCAUCGUGGCCUUGGUGAGCCGUUACCUCACCAACUAGCUAAUGCACCGCGGGUCCAUCCAUCAGCGACACCCGAAAGCGCCUUUCAAAUCAAAACCAUGCGGUUUCGAUUGUUAUACGGUAUUAGCACCUGUUUCCAAGUGUUAUCCCCUUCUGAUGGGCAGGUUACCCACGUGUUACUCACCCGUUCGCCACUCCUCUUUUUCCGGUGGAGCAAGCUCCGGUGGAAAAAGAAGCGUACGACUUGCAUGUAUUAGGCACGCCGCCAGCG